ACAGUGGACGCGAGCAUCUUUGUUGUAAGUAAUGAAGAGCGUACGGUGGAUGCCUUG
rnacentral:rRNA from 1 species